rnacentral:lncRNA from 1 species
AGAGAGAGAGAGAGAGAGAGAGAGAGAGAGAGAGAGAGAGAGAGAGAGAGAGAGAGAGAGAGAGAGAUCGACAAUUUAUUUUAGUUUCACUUACUUAGUGAAAUGCAGCUAGCUAGUUUAGCCUCCUGAAACACCCUGCUCAAACAGAGAGAUGCUAUCGUCGCUAGCAGGCUACGAUUAUCCAACACAACGCAACACUGGAACUCGUCCAAGUCAAGGUUAGAUUUGGGUUUUAUUAAUUUAUUGCCGCCAGGGGCCGGCCGGUCUAACUGCUCACUGACUAAAACACUGUAACGUUACUGCAUGAUUGUAGCGGGUUUACUAACACGUUAGUCCUAUUAGCUAACGAUGUAGGAUGUGUGUAGAGGUUAUGAUAUGGUUUGGCUUGGCUUGGAAAGGGUUUUUUAAUCGCCUGGUCACAUGUGUUGUUCAUUGAAGUCCACAAACAAAGGGAAAAGAUGAGAGGAGGAGAGCACAUAAGAGGUGGAGAAGGAAUACAACGUGGCAGCUAUGAAAGGGAACUGUGUUUACACAUGAUCACGGGGUCUACAAAGGGAAAAGAUGAGAGGAGGAGAGCACAUAAGAGGUGGAGAAGGAAUACAACGUGGCUGCUAUGAAAGGGAACUGUGUUUACACAUGAUCACGGGGUCUAUUCAUUCUGACGAUUCUGUUUGAAAAAAAAUAAAAUAAACGUUUCUUAAAAACGGAAGCAAACGAAACGGAGAUAAAAAAAUAAACUAAAAAAUGCUGUAAUAUAAAUAAAAUGUUGUCCUCAUAAUAAAACACCACAGGGCCAACACACACACACACACACACACACACACACACACACACACACACACACACACACACACACACACACACACACACACACACACACACACACUAAAACACCACAGGGCCAACAUCUUGUUGUGUCGUUGUCCUCCGGAGGCUAGCUAGCCAGCUAGCUAAAAUUGUCCCUUUCCUAAAUUAGCCUGGGAUGGAGAUAAGGAUUUGGACUUGUGGUUUUACUUAAUUCUCCGUACUGGCCAAUGAUUAUAACAGCGAUUCUGAUCCAAACCAUGAAUUCAUACAUUGUUGUGCCCCUGACCUGAGAGGAUGGAAGUUCAAUAUGUAGCUAGAUGUAGAAGGCUAAUGUGAACUAGCUGGCUCGUCGUUGCCCAUGAAUGGAAGUCAGGCCAGCAAGCAAGCAUUUUAGCCAGGUAGCCUAGGACAACAAAACAACCUACCUGGACGGCAGGACAACAUGAUUAGAACUGGCUAGCUAGCCUGCCUGGACGGUGAGCUAGCUAGCAGGAUUAGAACUGGCUAGCCAGCCUGCCUGGACGGUGAG